GACGAACGCUGGCGGCGUGCCUAAUACAUGCAAGUUGAGCGCUGAAGGUUGGUACUUGUACCGACUGGAUGAGCAGCGAACGGGUGAGUAACGCGUGGGGAAUCUGCCUUUGAGCGGGGGACAACAUUUGGAAACGAAUGCUAAUACCGCAUAAAAACUUUAAACACAAGUUUUAAGUUUGAAAGAUGCAAUUGCAUCACUCAAAGAUGAUCCCGCGUUGUAUUAGCUAGUUGGUGAGGUAAAGGCUCACCAAGGCGAUGAUACAUAGCCGACCUGAGAGGGUGAUCGGCCACAUUGGGACUGAGACACGGCCCAAACUCCUACGGGAGGCAGCAGUAGGGAAUCUUCGGCAAUGGACGAAAGUCUGACCGAGCAACGCCGCGUGAGUGAAGAAGGUUUUCGGAUCGUAAAACUCGGUUGGUAGAGAAGAACGUUGGUGAGAGUGGAAAGCUCAUCAAGUGACGGUAACUACCCAGAAAGGGACGGCUAACUACGUG
rnacentral:rRNA from 1 species